ensembl:snRNA U6 U6 spliceosomal RNA
GUGUUCACUUCAGCAGCACAUAUACUAACAUUGGAACGAUACGAAGAAGAUUAUCAUGGCCCCUGCGCAAGGGUGACUCAUAUAUUCAUGAAGCAGUCCAUAUUUUU